rnacentral:lncRNA from 1 species
UCCUGGGAACCAGCAUUAUCUCUUUCUAUGAGUUCAACUUUUUUUUUUAGAUUCCACAUAUAAGUGAGAUGAUGCAGUAUUUGUCUUUCUCUGUCUGGCUAAUUUCACUCUGCACAAUGUCCUCUAGAUUCAUCCAUUGUUGCAAAUGGCAGAUAUUGCUUGUACAGCAAUUCCUUCUCUGCUGGAGAUUCUCCUGAGACUUUCAUCAGCUAUAACCAAGGAAGCUGGUGGGGAUGGUCUGUGCUUGAUCCUAAAAAGAGAGGAGAGCAUCUCAUUGCCCAUAAUGCCAAGACAAGCUGCAGAGGGAGUGGGGCUCAAUAAACGCUUGCAGUUGAAUGGAAUUGUAUACUCCUUGUGCUCAUAUCAUCUGCUUCUCUACAACCAAGCCCUGUUCAAUGGGAGUCAAGGUGUCAGGGGUUUCAGAAGCAAUCACUCCUGCUUUGUUCUCCCAAGUAUCUGGAUAUUUCUAUCACAGCAACUCUAGUCAUUGUAUUUCCUGUACUGAUUCACACGUCUGUCUGGACGUUCCAACGAAGGUCCCAGGCAACAGCCAGGAUCACCUGCCAGAUAUGUGAGUGAAUGAGCCGUCAGAUGACUCCACUCUUUGAGCUGUUCCAGCCAACAUCAAGCAGAGCUUUGUCCAAGUUGUAGAUUUGAG